GCCGGGCGGUUUGCAGCGACACUGGGCCCUGGAGAUCAGGGCUCCCUAGGGUCCCAGCGGAGUGCAAGCUCUCUGGCCUCCCGGACCGAAGGUGGCGGGCGAGUCCUGUCCCGACUCAGACAAGCUUCCUCGCCACCUUCCGGACAAAGUGUCAAGUACAAGUUCAAGUUCAGGGGCAGGCCCCAGGAGGAAGGCGGGUGGGGGGAGCCAUCCCCAGCUGCCUUUGUUCUCCGGGAUAAGCGCUCCCACGUCCCCCUCCCGGGCGGGGCCCGGCAGAUACCCCCGCCCCGCCCCGCCGCGCCCCGCAGCAGCCGCCUCCUCCCGCCCGCGCGGUGCCUGUGCCGGGGUCCCGGCUACCCUGCUCAAAGCCACCGAAGGGUCUGGGGGCUCGGGGCGGGGGGAUGCGCGGUCCGAGCCCGUGGGAGCCCCCCUAGCCCCGCAGUCCCAGCAGCAAACUGCGCUUGGUCGGACGGAUGCCCGCGCGCGCGGAGGGAAGCUGAGAGACUGGAAAUCUGGAGGUCAUUUCUGAGUAUGAAAUCUGGAAACCAUUCAGGUCUUAAAACCUUGCUCUCAGCACCUCGACAGAGAAGGCUCCAGAGAAGAACCUAAGUGGGUUUUUCAGUUCCAGGGAGCCCCAGUGGCACCACCCAAACUUGGAAAAGGAAUCAUGUUGAUCACCAGAGAUAGAAUCUCAUCAGAACUAGGCUGCGUGCCGGGGAGGCGAUGGGCCAAGAGGCUCCUGGAUGGCAUCCCACAGAGGCACCAGGAGGAUGUGGCCACAGGUGUGUAGGUCAACGAGACCACCGCAUCCUCUGGAAGAUCUGCUUCACAGAGCUGCAGGGCAGAAAGCCCUGUGGUUAGACCUGGCCAAGCACUCUUUCACUCACCCCUUCCCACAACCCGUUGCAGAGUUGGCUUCGUUUUUAGUUCUCCAGCCUUGGGAGGGAAAGACCUAGUUCAGAGGCCUUGACCUGUGCCCUCCCCGACCCCACCGCAUGCCCGCAUGCUGCAUGCCGGAUUCCCAAGGUGCGGAGCUUGUGUGGGUUCCCAGAGGCCUUCGGAGGCUGCGCGCAGUAGUUUUCUUCGCUUUAGAAGGCAGCAGACGGUUUUCAAAGGACCACAUCAUGGUGAAGACGGCCGGGAGGCUCUGGCGGCAAUGGUACUGCCGCUCGGGUCUUUGCCCACCCCCCUGGCUUGCUUUACACUCCUUGUUUCAAGUGAGGAAACACGUCACAGAUGUGAAGUGAGUGACCCAAGGUCGCCCAGCUGGAAAGUCACAACUCCAGCUCCAAAGAAACAUACAUGUGAGCCCACGGACUUCAUCUGCACCAGAGGCAUUGUGGCGCUGAUCCUGGAACCUGACUGCCUGGGUGUAACCUCAACUCUGCCAGCUGCUGACUUAACUCUCUCUGUGCCUGUGUUUCCUCGUCAGGAAAAGGCGAUGAGUUGUAACAAUGUAUCCACCCUGGCUGGCAUGGCUGUGAAGACUGAAGGGGAUAAUGUGUAUGACAUGGCUGUGAAGACUGGAGGGGAUAAUGUGUAUGACGGACUUGGCACUGUGAAGCUAUCCUCCCUACUGUUCCCACUGCUCUAGGUCUGAGCUCCUCCCCCGGCCAUGGCGGGCAAGUCCAGAGGGUGGAGAGGAAAGCCAGGCUGAGAAUUUCUUGCCUCAUCAUCCUCGAUGUUCAGGAGCAGAGAGGGCACAGGACAGAGGAGGGGCCGCGUGACUGCCCGGGCUGCUGAGCAAUUUACUGGAGAAGCUCAUUUGGCAACUCUGAUUCCAAGUUAAUUAAAGAUGGCCACCGGGGGUCAUUGCCAUGGUGACAAUUAGGCCAGAAAGAAGCCUCAUUAAGUAAUGUAAGUGCAUAGAUGAAAAUGAGAAGUCCCAGGAAGUCACAAAAGAGGCUGUCCCUGCUGUACCCCACCCCAGACAUAAUGUCUGUUGACAUUUUCCGUGUGAUAAGUGAAGCACAGGCUACAGGAUGCAAAGAACAGAGAAGAGGAACAUGGACUUCGGUGUCUGUGCCCUUUUCUACUGUGUGUAUUUUAUCAGAAAAAUGUCGAAUAAACGGCAGUGAAAAUACCAACUAAUGCAGCAUUCCUCUAGGUAUGGAGAUGUAUCACACACUUUUCUCUGCAAAAAUAGGGGUCGCAUUGUACCUACGAUUUUGAAACCUGAAUUUAUCACGUCAAGAUAACGAAGUGUCUUGAAUGCUUUUUCCGGAUGCUUCAACUUUUUUUUUUUUUUUAAAGCACAUUGCAAACUAUUCAAACUGCAAAGGCAAAAAUCAGACAAACAAGUUUCCUGUCUGAGCCUCCCUCUCUUUUGUUCCCCUCUACAGAGGCAGCCCUGAAGGUCCAUUUCUCUUCUCCACUUCCUUCCCUCCUUCUAGCCCAAGCCGGCUUUGAACCCAACAAAUACCUGAAGAUGGCCAUGAACUUCUGAUCCACCUGCCUCCACCUCCAGAGUACUGAUAUUUCACGCGUGCUCUACUAUGCCUGGUUUUGUGCCAUGUAAGAGGAAUUUCUUGUGCUCACAGAGAAGCACUAGGGAAACCAGGAAUGUUAAACACACAGGGUAGUCUCUCAAAAGGAGGAGAUGUACAACCAGUUUUCAGCCCAGAAGGCUGGGAGCAGACGUGGUUGAUAGCCUGGUGACCUUUAACGCUAUUGUGGCCGAAAGAGAUCACACCGGAUCCUCUCUACACCCUUAUCUUAAGCUUAUUUUCUCAGUUAACCUAUAGAACCCAUCUUGAUGGAAGAUGUCACAGGUCUCUUGUACUUUACAAAGAGUUUUGAUGUAGCCAUGUCUUAAGCUUUGUUGUGCACAAGAGAUUGAGUUAAUUAUAACCAGAAAACUUUUCACCAAAUUGUGCUGUGCUUAAAUAUGCCUAAAAUAAACUACUCAGGGUCAGACUCUUGAAGGUUAAA